rnacentral:rRNA from 1 species
GAUGAACGCUGGCGGCGUGCCUAAUACAUGCAAGUCGAGCGAACGGACGAGAAGCUUGCUUCUCUGAUGUUAGCGGCGGACGGGUGAGUAACACGUGGAUAACCUACCUAUAAGACUGGGAUAACUUCGGGAAACCGGAGCUAAUACCGGAUAAUAUUUUGAACCGCAUGGUUCAAAAGUGAAAGACGGUCUUGCUGUCACUUAUAGAUGGAUCCGCGCUGCAUUAGCUAGUUGGUAAGGUAACGGCUUACCAAGGCAACGAUGCAUAGCCGACCUGAGAGGGUGAUCGGCCACACUGGAACUGAAACACGGUCCAGACUCCUACGGGAGGCAGCAGUAGGGAAUCUUCCGCAAUGGGCGAAAGCCUGACGGAGCAACGCCGCGUGGGUGAUAAAGGUCUUCGGAUCGUAAAGCUCUGUUAUUAGGGAAGAACAUAUGUGUAAGUAACUGUGCACAUCUUGACGGUACCUAAUCAGAAAGCCACGGCUAACUACGUG